AGCAGCAGCCGCGGUAAUACGGAGGGUGCAAGCGUUAAUCGGAAUUACUGGGCGUAAAGCGUGCGUAGGUGGUGGUUUAAGUCCGUUGUGAAAGCCCUGGGCUCAACCUGGGAAUUGCAGUGGAUACUGGGUCACUAGAGUGUGGUAGAGGAUAGUGGAAUUUCCGGUGUAGCAGUGAAAUGCGUAGAGAUCGGAAGGAACAUCUGUGGCGAAGGCGACUAUCUGGGCCAACACUGACACUGAGGCACGAAAGCGUGGGGAGCAAACAGGAUUAGAUACCCCAGUAGUCCCUGUCUCUUAUAC
rnacentral:rRNA from 1 species